rnacentral:rRNA from 1 species
GACGAACCGUCCUAACGUUGUUCGGAAUCACUGGGCUUAAAGGGCGCGUAGGCGGCUUGCCAAGUCAGGGGUGAAAUCCUGCAGCUUAACUGUAGAAGGGCCUUUGAUACUGGCGAGCUCGAGGGAGGUAGGGGUAUGUGGAACUUCCGGUGGAGCGGUGAAAUGCGUUGAUAUCGGAAGGAACGCCGGUGGCGAAAGCGACGUACUGGACCUCCUCUGACGCUGAGGCGCGAAAGCUAGGGGAGCAAACGGG